CACUGGAAACGGUGUCUAAUACUGGAUACGACCUAUCACCGCAUGGUGUGUGGGUGGAAAGAUUUAUCGGUUUUGGAUGGACUCGCGGCCUAUCAGCUAGAUGGUGAGGUAAUGGCUCACCAUGGCGACGACGGGUAGCCGGCCUGAGAGGGUGACCGGCCACACUGGGACUGAGACACGGCCCAGACUCCUACGGGAGGCAGCAGUGGGGAAUAUUGCACAAUGGGCGCAAGCCUGAUGCACCAACGCCGCGUGAGGGAUGACGGCCUUCGGGUUGUAAACCUCUUUUAGUAGGGAAGAAGCGAAAGUGACUGUACCUGCAGAAAAAGCACCGGCUAACUACUUUUUUUCUGCCGCGGUAAUCCCCCCGCCGCAAGCGUU
rnacentral:rRNA from 1 species